rnacentral:rRNA from 1 species
GAGUUUGAUCUUGGCUCAGAUUGAACGCUGGCGGCAUGCCUUACACAUGCAAGUCGAACGGCAGCACGGGAGCUUGCUCCUGGUGGCGAGUGGCGAACGGGUGAGUAAUGCAUCGGAACGUAUCCUGGAGUGGGGGAUAACGUAGCGAAAGUUACGCUAAUACCGCAUAUUCUGUGAGCAGGAAAGCGGGGACCUUCGGGCCUCGCGCUCUUGGAGCGGCCGAUGUCGGAUUAGCUAGUUGGUGAGGUAAAGGCUCACCAAGGCGACGAUCCGUAGCAGGUCUGAGAGGAUGAUCUGCCACACUGGAACUGAGACACGGUCCAGACUCCUACGGGAGGCAGCAGUGGGGAAUUUUGGACAAUGGGGGCAACCCUGAUCCAGCCAUGCCGCGUGAGUGAAGAAGGCCUGG